rnacentral:rRNA from 1 species
GGACUACUGGGGUAUCUAAUCCUGUUUGCUCCCCUUGCUCUCGCGCCUCAGCGUCAGGUUAUAGCUAGAAAACCGCUUUCGCCACAGGUGUUCUUCCACAUAUCUACGCAUUUCACCGCUACACGUGGAAUUCCGUUUUCUCCGCCAUCCCUCUAGAUCUACAGUUUCAAAUGCAGCUCCGGAAUUGAGUUCCGGAAUUUCACAUCUGACUUAUACAUCCGCCUACGCGCCCUUUACGCCCAAUAAUUCCGAUUAAUGCUUGCACCCUCCGUAUUACCGCGGCUGCUGGCAC